UCGCCCUCUGUGAGAGAGGAGGAGCUACUGCAGCGGUCGCUGUUCUGCGCGCGCUUUGCAAACGCCGAACCUAACUGCGACCACAUCCGUGUAGCCGCGGACCCCUGGCCGCAGACCUCUCCGGUGGGGUCGGGACGCAGACCCUCGGAACAUGCGCGUCCGAAAACCCCAGUGCGUUCGCCCGGCCGCGAGAAGUGGAACCCAUGCAGAGUUCAGCUGCGGCUCAGUCAACGAUGGCGCGGUUCCCGACUGAAGCCCUUGGAGAGGAAAUUUUAAAAACCUCUUUGUUACUGUUUCUUAUUCCUCUGAACUUUUCCAGGAUGGAAACAUUUUAUCUACACACAGUUGCCCCAACACACACACUGAAGCAGAAGACUUGUGCAACACCAGCCACUGUACACUGAAGGCACCUAGUGUUUCUGGAUGAAGGGAACCAUAAAAUCUUUAGCAGAAGUGUCGGGGAAGGGCAUGCACUUCAACUGCUUCAGCAAUUAUACUUAAUAAAUACUCGACUUUUUAAAAACCAA